GUCUCUUUGAAGACAUCUGAUAAAAUUAAAACGAUACAGAAAAGAUUAGCAUGAUCCCUAGGCAAAAAUAACACGCACAAAUCGAGAAAUGAUCCAUUUUUUU
rnacentral:snRNA from 1 species